CGGACACACCAGAUGAUGAGCUACGUCAAAUUCGUCGGUUUCUUAUGGUGGCGUUCUCUGUGUUUGGUUCAAUGUGCUAAUCAGCCAAAGAACAAAAAGAUCACUUGGCAAACGCGUGCGACGCCGAUGACGUAAAGAAAUGGCUCGCGUGUACGGCGUGAACUGCGAAAACGCCAACGCAAUGUUCCAAGAAGAGGACAGUAUACGUUUUGAGAAAACAUAUGAAUAAAUAUACCCAACUCAACUAACAGUAUAAGCCACAAAGUUUGCCAUUUGCGUUCGAUAAGGGGCCAUUGUAUCGUCACAAAUUAUGCCCUUUAACCAGAAAAUGUUUUAAAAUUCUAAAACUAUAUCUACAAACUUAGAUAAUU